UACGUAGGGGGCAAGCGUUGUCCGGAAUCAUUGGGCGUAAAGCGCGCGUAGGCGGCCCAGUAAGUCCGUUGUAAAAGUCAAAGGCUCAACCUUUGAAAGCCGAUGGAUACUGCUGGGCUAGAGUCCGGAAGAGGCGAGUGGAAUUCCUGGUGUAGCGGUGGAAUGCGCAGAUAUCAGGAGGAACACCAAUAGCGAAGGCAGCUCGCUGGGACGGUACUGACGCUGAGGCGCGAAAGCGUGGGGAGCGAACAG
rnacentral:rRNA from 1 species